UACAGAGGUCCCAAGCGUUGUUCGGAUUUACUGGGCGUAAAGGGUGCGUAGGGGGCGAGGUAAGUUCGAUGUGAAAUCUCCGAGCUCAACUCGGAAAUGGCAUUGAAUACUAUCCCGCUUGAGGGUCGGAGGGGAGACUGGAAUUCUCGGUGUAGCAGUGAAAUGCGUAGAUAUCGAGAGGAACACCAGUGGCGAAGGCGAGUCUCUGGACGACUCCUGACACUGAGGCACGAAAGCUGGGGGAGCAAACAGG
rnacentral:rRNA from 1 species